UUAGAUGUGAGUUUUUCCCUUGAACUGGUAAUCUUGAGCAAUAUCCUGAUGAGGGCAAGAUGAAAAGUUUCAACACAAUGCAUCUGUAUUCAAUACAGGGUGAAAAAGGGGCAAAAGGAUCUCGUGGUGACCCCGGGAAACCAGGCUUAUCGGGGAUCACAGGACCACCUGGGAAAAGAGGAGUGGCAGGACAGCCAGGAUUGAGGGGAAAGCCUGGGAAUGUCGGAAAGCCAGGAAUUCCUGGAAGUCCUGGGCGACCUG